CUAUCGGCUGAUCUGGUCAGCAC
rnacentral:snRNA from 1 species